rnacentral:lncRNA from 10 species
UGCAGAUGGGCCCCCAAAGUGGGCACGAACACCUCACCAACGAGGAAGAGGACCGCAGCAGGGUGGUGCUGAGUGGGCCUUGGGGGUCUUUAAUCUCCUUGAGCCCCAGCGAAGCAAAAUUUCAUAGGGAUAGUAGCACAACAAUAAAUCGCCUCCUGAAAGCCAGACCGCCCAGACAGCCUCGUUGGAACAUAAUCACUUCAAAAGACUUGGUCAGAGCAGGAAAAAAUGCUUAAGGACUCAAUAAUCUAGGAACUCUACUCCCAGGAAUGUAUUCUAAGGAACAGAUAAGAGAUGUGUGCACCGCAUGAAGAUAUUCAUUGCAGUCAAAUGGGGGAGGUCAACCUACAUGCAAGUACAGGAGGAAGGCUGGAGGAUGUAUGACUUACCUGUGGGUGGAGUAUUAUGCAUCCAUUUACAGUCAUGCUUCCAGAGUGUUUUUCAGAGUGGGAAGUGAUUGUGAUGUGUAUGAAAUUUUAAAAAUAGCAUGAAUAUAGAAGCAGUCCUCAGCAUACAGUCCAGGGAAUGUGGGGGCUCCUGAUAUCUUUUUGGGAGGUCUAUGAGGUCAAAAUUACUUUCAUUGAUACCAAGCAACAGGCUUCAUGCCCAAAGUCCAUAGAACUAGUGCUAACAUAGUUUGGAUGUUUGUCAAUUCCAAAUCUCAUGUUGAAAUGUGCUUGCCAACUUUGGAGGUGGGGCCUGGUGGGAGGGAUUUGACAGUAGGGGUAGAUCCCUUAUGAAUGGUUAGCCCUGUCCUCUUGGUGAUGAAUGAGUUCUUGCUCAGUCAGUUCAUGGAGAUCUGGUUGUUUAAAAAUCUGGGACAUCCCUCCCCUCUCUCUCUUGCUCCUGCCUUCACCAUGUGACAAGCCUGCUCCUGUUUCACCUUCCACCAUGAUUGUAAACUUCUUGCCCUCACCACAAGCAGAGAAGAUGUUGGUGCCAUGCUUGUAUGGAAUGCAGAACCAUGAGCCAAUUAGACCUCUUUUCUUUAUAAUUACUCAGCCUCGGGUGUUUCUUUAUAGUGAUGCAAAAACAGACUGAUAUAAAUACUAUGGCUCUGGCUUUUGAGAAAAGAUAAAGCUUUACUGUGAGUUGACUGGCAAGGAGACAGAAG